rnacentral:misc_RNA from 1 species
CCAAACUUGGUCAUUUAGAGGAAGUAAAAGUCGUAACAAGGUUUCCGUAGGUGAACCUGCGGAAGGAUCAUUACAAAUCAUGGUCGAACCUCGCGCUUCGCGAGGUUCUUGCGUCCAUAUUCUUAUUUAAAACAUCCACUCUUUUAAAAAAAAAUUAAAAAAUUUAUCCAAUGAUAAAAAAAAGAUCACUUUCAACAACGGAUCUCUUGGCUCUCGCAUCGAUGAAGAACGCAGC